GCCAGCUGCAAGCCUGGCAGUUACCAUAUUUCACCACCAACUCCGUGUCUGGACAGCCAUUGUCUUUUUUUAUGAAAAACUCCACAAAUCAGCUGCUAUUUUCCCCCCCCUCUACGUGCAGAAACGGCGCUCGGGGGCUGAGGUGGCUCUGGCGCAUCAUCCACACGGCGGUCAGUGAUGCACUGGCUCCAUCAUUUCCAUACCAGCAGGCAUGGCAAGAAGGACAAUCUGAAUAGCUUCCUGACUGAGGACUUCUGUCACUACCUCUAUUUGGGCUUCUUUGCACUGCAGUCCAUGGCACUUUUGGAUCAGGAGGUGCUGCCCCUUUGGCAAAUGGGGAAGUUCAAUCUUGCUUUUCUCAGAUGAGUGGUAUUAUGAACUAAAAAUGCAUGAAUUCUUGCAAGUAAGCUUCACUCCAUCAGCACUGCCUGCAUGAGAAGGAGGUCUGAGGACUGGAUUGAAGAAGCCAAGUUCCCUGCUAUUACUCUUUCUCCUUGAGAAACAGCAAAGGUAAAAUUCCAGCUUUGUUGCAAUAAAUGGAACAGACACCAAAAUCUU